rnacentral:rRNA from 1 species
AAUGAACGCUGGCGGCAGGCCUAAAACAUGCAAGUCGAACGCCCUAGCAAUAGGGAGUGGCGCACGGGUGAGUAACAUGUGGGAAUAUGCCUUUUGGUACGGAACAACGUUUGGAAACGAACGCUAAUACCGUAUGGUCCCUCCGGGGUAAAGAUUUAUCGCCAAAAGAUUAGCCCGCACUAGAUUAGCUAGUUGGUAAGGUAAUGGCUUACCAAGGCGACGAUCUAUAGCUGUUCUGAGAGGAAGAUCAGCCACACUGGGACUGAGACACGGCCCAGACUCCUACGGGAGGCAGCAGUUAGGAAUAUUGGACAAUGGGCGCAAGCCUGAUCCAGCCAUGCCGCGUGAGUGAUGAAGGCCUUCGGGUUGUAAAGCUCUUUAGCCGACGAAUAUAAUGAUUGUAGUCGGAGAAUAAGCCCCGGCUACCUUCGUGCCAGCAGCCGCCGUAAGAC